rnacentral:lncRNA from 1 species
AUGAAUUUUCAGGCCUUCUUCGUCAGCAAUUACAGAAUAAAUUUCAAGGCUUUUAGAGCUUGCUUUCUGUUCUGGAGAUGGAGGAAGAUGAAAAUCGCAGAGGGGGAGAGAGAAGAAAAUCAUAGGGAGGGGAUGGGUUUUGUGGGUCUGGGUUCGUGGAGGUUGGGGUUUUGGGUUGUGGGUUCGUGUGGUUGGAGGUGGUGGUUCUUGGUUUAGUUUGCAG